rnacentral:rRNA from 1 species
UACGUAGGGUGCGAGCGUUAAUCGGAAUUACUGGCGUAAGCGUGCGCAGGCGGUUUGUAAGUCCAGAUGUGAAAUCCCCGGGCUCAACCUGGGAAACUGCAUUUGUGACUGCACGGCUGGAGUGCGGCAGAGGGGGAUGGAAUUCCGCGUGUAAGCAGUGAAAUGCGUAGAUAUGGCGGAGGAACACCGAUGGCGAAGGCAAUCCCCU